rnacentral:rRNA from 1 species
UACAGAGGGGGCAAGCGUUGUUCGGAAUUACUGGGCGUAAAGGGCUCGUAGGCGGCCAACUAAGUCAGACGUGAAAUCCCUCGGCUAAACCGGGGAACUGCGUCUGAUACUGGAUGGCUUGAGGUUGGGAGAGGGAUGCGGAAUUCCAGGUGUAGCGGUGAAAUGCGUAGAUAUCUGGAGGAACACCGGUGGCGAAGGCGGCAUCCUGGACCAAUUCUGACGCUGAGGAGCGAAAGCCAGGGGAGCAAACGGG